rnacentral:tRNA from 1 species
GGCCCGUUGGUCUAGGGGUAUGAUUCUCGCUUUGGGUGCGAGAGAUCCCGGGUUCAAAUCCCGGACGGGCCC